ensembl:lncRNA
UAAAAACACACACAUUUUAAAUACUUUAUUUGAAUCCACAAAUCACAUUACAUCAUAAAGGAUUCAAACAUUUCAAAGGUUGUUGAUGCAAGGAAAUUUAAGGAAGUAAAAGCACCUUCUCCUUACAGCUAGGUUGCACAUAGCGUCUGAAACAGAACAGUACCUUCUCCUUACAGCUAGGUUGCACAUAGCGUCUGAAACAGAACAGUACCUUCUCCUUACAGCUAGGUUGCACAUAGCGUCUGAAACAGAACAGCACCUUCUCCUUACAGCUAGGUUGCACAUAGCGUCUGAAACAGAACAGUACCUUCUCCUUACAGCUAGGUUGCACAUAGCGUC